CAUUCCAAAGGUGAUAUAGGCCUCUUCAAAAGAAUCUGAAGAGCCAAAUUCGACAGUGAAGGUGGGGGGCAUUGGAGCCUUCCUCCAGUUGGCAUCUCCGCGACCCACAAUCCGAUCGUCACCCGACUAACCACAAGCCGGUAAGGCCUAGACCGCACUGAUGAGCCUGGUCGGGGCUUCGACGAUAAUGACAUCAUCAUCGAUGGAGAUGGAAGGUGCAGGAGGUGGUG
rnacentral:lncRNA from 1 species